rnacentral:rRNA from 1 species
UACAGAGGGGGCAAGCGUUGUUCGGAAUUACUGGGCGUAAAGGGCGCGUAGGCGGCCUUCUAAGUCGAACGUGAAAUCCCCGGGCUCAACCCGGGAACUGCGUCCGAUACUGGAAGGCUUGAAUCCGGGAGAGGGAUGCGGAAUUCCAGGUGUAGCGGUGAAAUGCGUAGAUAUCUGGAGGAACACCGGUGGCGAAGGCGGCACUCUGGGCCGGUACUGACGCUGAGGAGCGAAAGCGUGGGUAGCAAACAGG